GUGAGCGUAGCUCAACUGGCAGAGCAUCGGACUGUGGAUCCGAGGGUUGGGGGUUCAAGUCCCCUCGCUCACCCCA
rnacentral:tRNA from 2 species